rnacentral:lncRNA from 1 species
UUCUGCCAUCAGCGGAGGUGAUCAUCUGAGACUCCACCAUCAACAUUUACAUGCGUACCCGUGAAGUGGGCUUCAAAAAGGGUGCCCCUUGGGCACUCAGAGAGAUCCGGAAAUUGGCCAUGGAGAUGCGGACUCCAGAUGUACACAUUGAUAUCAGGCUUAACAAAACUGUCUGGGCCAAAGGAAUAAGGAAUGUCCCAUACUAUAUCCAUAUCCAUGUGCACAGAAAACAUGAGGAUGA